CCUGCAGGUUAACGAGCGCCCUUGUGCCAAGCAGCCGCGGUAAUUCCAGCUCCAAUAGCGUAUAUUAAAGUUGUUGCGGUAAAAAAGCUCGUAGUUGGAUUUCUGUUGAAGACGUCCGGUCCAUACCACGUAUGCGCAUCUGGCUCGGCUUCGGCAUCCUCUCGAAAGACGUUUCUGCGCUUGAUUGCGUGGAGCGGAUCUCGGGACUUUUACUUUGAGGAAAUUAGAGUGUUCACGGCAGGCUAUCGCCAGAAUACAUUAGCAUGGAAUAAUACUAUAGGAUCUCGGUUCUAUUUUGUUGGUUUCUAGAAUUGAGAUAAUGAUUAAUAGGGACAAUUGGGGGCAUUCGUAUCAACACGUUAGAGGUGAAAUUCUUGGAUCGUGUUGCGACGAACUACUGCGAAAGCAUUUGCCAAGGAUGUUUUCAUUGAUCAAGAACGAAAGUAAGGGGAUCGAAGACGAUUAGAUACCGUCGUAGUCUUUACCAUAAACUAUGCCAACUAGAGAUGGGACAUCGUUCACUUAAGACUUGUUCCGCACCUUAUGAGAUAUCAAAGUCUUUGGGUUCCGGGGGGAGUAUGGUCGCAAGUCUGAAACUUAAAGGAAUUGACGGAAGGGCACCACCAGGAGUGGAGCCUGCGGCUUAAUUUGACUCAACACGGGGAAACUCACCAGGUCCAGACAUAAUAAGGAUUGACAGAUUGAUAGCUCUUUCUUGAUUUUAUGGGUGGUGGUGCAUGGCCGUUCUUAGUUCGUGGAGUGAUUUGUCUGCUUAAUUGCGUUAACGAACGAGACCUUAACCUGCUAAAUAGGAGCGCCUAUCUCCGGAUAAGCGCCUUUCUUCUUAGAGGGACUUUAUGCGUUUCAGCAUGAGGAAGUUUGAGGCUAAAACAGGUCUGUGAUGCCAGGCCGAAUUCGC
rnacentral:rRNA from 1 species